ACGCGAAGAACCUUACCUGGUCUUGACAUCCACGGAAGUUUUCAGAGAUGAGAAUGUGCCUUCGGGAACCGUGAGACAGGUGCUGCAUGGCUGUCGUCAGCUCGUGUUGUGAAAUGUUGGGUUAAGUCCCGCAACGAGCGCAACCCUUAUCCUUUGUUGCCAGCGGUCCGGCCGGGAACUCAAAGGAGACUGCCAGUGAUAAACUGGAGGAAGGUGGGGAUGACGUCAAGUCAUCAUGGCCCUUACGACCAGGGCUACACACGUGCUACAAUGGCGCAUACAAAGAGAAGCGACCUCGCGAGAGCAAGCGGACCUCAUAAAGUGCGUCGUAGUCCGGAUUGGAGUCUGCAACUCGACUCCAUGAAGUCGGAAUCGCUAGUAAUCGUGGAUCAGAAUGCCACGGUGAAUACGUUCCCGGGCCUUGUACACACCGCCCGUCACACCAUGGGAGUGGGUUGCAAAAGAAGUAGGUAGCUUAACCUUCGGGA
rnacentral:rRNA from 1 species